AGUGAACGCUGGCGGUAGGCUUAACACAUGCAAGUCGAACGGAAAGGCCCUGCUUUUGUGGGGUGCUCGAGUGGCGAACGGGUGAGUAACACGUGAGUAACCUGCCCUUGACUUUGGGAUAACUUCAGGAAACUGGGGCUAAUACCGGAUAGGAGCUCCUGCUGCAUGGUGGGGGUUGGAAAGUUUCGGCGGUUGGGGAUGGACUCGCGGCUUAUCAGCUUGUUGGUGGGGUAGUGGCUUACCAAGGCUUUGACGGGUAGCCGGCCUGAGAGGGUGACCGGCCACAUUGGGACUGAGAUACGGCCCAGACUCCUACGGGAGGCAGCAGUGGGGAAUAUUGCACAAUGGGCGGAAGCCUGAUGCAGCAACGCCGCGUGCGGGAUGACGGCCUUCGGGUUGUGAACCGCUUUCGCCUGUGACGAAGCGUGAGUGACGGUAAUGGGUAAAGAAGCACCGGCUAACUACGUG
rnacentral:rRNA from 1 species